rfam:Triticum aestivum genome assembly, contig: Triticum_aestivum_CS42_TGACv1_scaffold_061299_1DL
GUAUUAGUCCCUCCGUCCGGAAAUAUUUGUCAUCAAAAUGAAUAAAAGGGAUGUAUCUAGACGUAUAUUAUUUCUAGAUACAUCCUUUUUUAUCCAUUUUGAUGAUAAAUAUUUUCGGACGAAGGGAGUAGUUC